rnacentral:tRNA from 1 species
UGCGGGGUGGUGUAAUUUUGGUAGCACUCGAGAUUCUGGCUCUCGCGAUCUUGGUUCGAGUCCAGGCCCCGCAGCCA